GGGGGGGGGGGGGGGGGGGGGGGGGGGGGGGGGGGGGGGGGGCGGGGGGGGGGGGGGUGGCGGGGAGGGGGGGCGGGGGGCGGGCGGGGGGGGGGUGCAUGGGAGUCGACGGUUUCGGGGGGGGUAACGUAGGGAGACUUACGCUAAUAGCGCAUCCGACCUGCGGGUGACAGCAGGGGAUCUUCGGACCUUGCGCGAUCGAAUGAGCCGCUGGCGGAUUGUCUAGUUUGCGGGGUAAAGGCCCACCAAGGCGACGAUCCGUAGCUGGUCUGAGAGGAUGAUCAGCCACACUGGAACUGAGACACGGUCCAGACUCCUACGGGAGGCAGCAGUGGGGAAUAUUGGACAAUGGGCGCAAGCCUGAUCCAGCCAUACCGCGUGGGUGAAGAAGGCCUUCGGGUUGUAAAGCCCUUUUGUUGGGAAAGAAAAGCAGCAGGUUAAUACCCCGCUGUUCUGACGGUACCCAAAGAAUAAGCACCGGCUAACUUCGUG
rnacentral:rRNA from 1 species